UGGUGGAGUGAUUUGUCUGGUUAAUUCCGAUAACGAACGAGACUCUAACCUGCUAAAUAGUCUGCAGAUUGCAUUGUCUGCAGCACUUCUUAGAGGGACAAGCGGCAUUUAGCCGCACGAAAAUGAGCAAUAACA
rnacentral:rRNA from 1 species